UAUUAUCAGACAACAAAUAAUGAAUUAAACUCCACUGUGAAAGAUUCAUGUCACUGAAAUUAUAAUUAUCGAUGUGUUUGUUUUUUUUCCAUUUGUCUCCUCUUUUCUCUUCUCCUGUGGCUGGGAGCCGGUGGGGCUGCACAUGUCGUCAGCUCUGGUUUGCAUUAUGCAGGUCUGAAUGCAGAGAGUUUGAUUAAUGGCUGGAGUCAGAGGGGACAGACACAGGAGCUCAGAGGGAGUUGCACACAACAGCAUACUGCACACAGCACUACAGUACAGCUCCGCCGAUACGACAACAACUACAUCUACAUUUUAGAGUGCCAGGGGUGA
ensembl:lncRNA